GACGAACGCUGGCGGCGUGCUUAACACAUGCAAGUCGAGCGGAGCGGCGAACGGGUGAGUAACGCGUGAGUAACUGCUCUCCUCUCUGGGAUAACAGUUGGAAACGGCUGCUAAUACCGGAUAGAGGGGGAUGAAUCGCGGCCUAUAAGCUUGUUGGUGGGGUAGUGGCCUCCCAAGGCGACGACGGGUAGCCGGCCUGCGAGGGCGACCGGCCACAGUGGGCUGAGAUACGGCCCAAACGCCUACGUGGGGCAUCAGUGGGGAAUAUUGCGCAAUGGGGGAACCCCUGAUGCAGCAACGCGCGUGCGGGAUGACUGCCUUCUGGUUGUAAACCGCUUUCAGCCAUGACGCGGUAGUGGCAGAAGAAGCACCGGCUAACUACGUGCCAGCAGCCGCGGUAAUUC
rnacentral:rRNA from 1 species